rnacentral:rRNA from 1 species
CUUGGAGGAAUGUAUAGCAACUGCUAGUUGCACUAAGAAACCUAGUGUAAAAUCAACUUAGUUGAAUAAAAUUCUGGGUAGAAUUAUGAUAAUGACAUUAUCUGUCCAUAAGUCUUGACCAAAUUACGUGCCAGCAGUCGCGGUAAUACGUAGAAGACAAGUGUUAUUCAUCUUUAAUAGGUUUAAAGGGUACUUAGACGGUAAAUCAAGCCUAAAAAAGGGACUAAUUUGCUAGAGUUUUAUGUGAAAAAGUUUUAAAGUACUGCUGGUGUAGAGAUGAAAUUCGGUAAUACCUUGAAUGGCACAGGUUAUGGCGAAAGCAUCUUUUUAUGUAAAAACUGACGUUGAAGGACGAAGGCUUUGUGUCUCGAACAGGAUUAGAUACCCUAGUAGUCUAAGCAGACAAUGAUGAAUGUCAUAGAUUAGAAGUAGUUUGAUCUAUAAAUGAAAGUGUAAGCAUUCCACCUCAAGAGUAAUUUGGCAACAUUGGAACUGAAAUCAUUAGACCGUUUCUGAAACCAGUAGUGAAGUAUGUUGUUUAAUUUGAUAAUCCGCAAAAAACCUUACCACAAUGUGAAUAGAUAUAUUUUAUCAUACAAGUGUUGCACGGCUGUCUUCAGUUAAUGUCGUGAGACUUUGGUUAGUUCCAUAAAAUUAACGUAAACCCUUGCUUUAUUUACUUAUAAAGUAGUUCACCGGUACAUUGGAUGUGAUAACAGGGAUCAAGACAAGUCAUCAUGACCUAAAUAUUGUGGGCU